UGGGGAAUAUUGCGCAAUGGGGGGAACCCUGACGCAGCCAUGCCGCGUGAAUGAAGAAGGCCUUAGGGUUGUAAAGUUCUUUCGGUAUUGAGGAAGGUUGAUGUGUUAAUAGCACAUCAAAUUGACGUUAAAUACAGAAGAAGCACCGGCUAACUCCGUGCCAGCAGCCGCGGUAAUACGGAGGGUGCGAGCGUUAAUCGGAAUAACUGGGCGUAAAGGGCACGCAGGCGGUUAUUUAAGUGAGGUGUGAAAGCCCCGGGCUUAACCUGGGAAUUGCAUUUCAGACUGGGUAACUAGAGUACUUUAGGGAGGGGUAGAAUUCCACGUGUAGCGGUGAAAUGCGUAGAGAUGUGGAGGAAUACCGAAGGCGAAGGCAGCCCCUUGGGAAUGUACUGACGCUCAUGUGCGAAAGCGUGGGGAGCAAACAGGAUUAGAUACCCUGGUAGUCCACGCUGUAAACGCUGUCGAUUUGGGGGUUGGGGUUUAACUCUGGUGCCCGUAGCUAACGUGAUAAAUCGACCGCCUGGGGAGUACGGCCGCAAGGUUA
rnacentral:rRNA from 1 species